rnacentral:misc_RNA from 1 species
CCACUUGCAAAAUCAAUGUAGAUUUAUCAUUCAAUCAUAUGGAUGAGAGCGAAGAUAAAGAGGAAUAUACAGAUGAUUGCACUGAUUUAUGGCAGAGAUGAGCAAGGAGCAGAAAGGAUUGGAGAAUACUGAGCGUUACAGAGAUUAGGACACAAGGAGCUUUCUGGUAGGCGGGGAUACCGAUAGAGUCAAAGGGUUGGAAGUAUUGAAGGGU